rnacentral:rRNA from 1 species
AGCGAACGCUAGCGGCGGGCCUAACACAUGCAAGUCGAGCGGAGAACUUCGGUUCUUAGCGGCGGACGGGUGAGUAACGCGUAGGUAAUGUGCCUUCUGGUGGGGAACAACCGUGCGAAAGCAUGGCUAAUACCGCAUAUGUCGAGAGAUGAAAGCCUUCGGGCGCCAGUAGAGCAGCCUGCGUCCCAUUAUUUAGUCCUAGUUGGUGAGGUAACGGCUCACCAAGGGUACGAUGGGUAGCUGGUCUGAGAGGAUGAUCAGCCACACUGGAACUGAGACACGGUCCAGACUCCUACGGGAGGGCAGCAGUGGGGAAGUAUUGCGCAAUAGGGCGAAAGCCUGACGCAGCCACGCCGCGUGAGUGAUGAAGGCCUCG